AGGCUUGUAGCUCAGGUGGUUAGAGCGCACCCCUGAUAAGGGUGAGGUCGGUGGUUCAAGUCCACUCAGGGCCUACCA
rnacentral:tRNA from 1 species